rnacentral:lncRNA from 10 species
UUUAGACUCAGAUGAAACUUGCAAAUUGAUGCAGGAAAUCUACCCGCCAACCUAUUUAUCUUUCUCUCAUCCCAGGCUAGAAAUUGAAACAUUCUCCAUUGUGGCAGAAAUGGCUGGUUGAGUUACAAAGACAUGAGCUCCCCUUCCACAGUGGGGAGCUGUUGCUGAGAAGCAGUUGCCCAGCCAAGAACUGCAUCUUCCAGCCCCUAUGCAGCUAUGUAGGCAGGAUGUUACCACUUUUGGUAAAGUGUAAUAGGAACUGAAGUGACGUGCCACUUCUGGGCCAAGGAGAUUAAGUAUGUGCUUAACUAUGUGCUUCCCCCAUACUUUCAUUCAUUUCAUUCAUUUCCAAUUUAACUCGGAGGCCACUCUUGUACUUUUCCAUUGCCAUGAGAAAACAUGACAUCUGGAUAACCUGCUGGUCCCAGGAGGAGAACAAAAGACACAUGGAGCAGAGCCACCCCAGCCUCCCCAUGAUGUGAAGCUGUACACUGAAGCAGAGCUACCCCAAUUGGCCUGCAAACUUGCGAUUAAGAUAUAAAUGAUUAUUGUUGUAUUGCAUUAAGUGUGCAAGCUAAUGUACGCAAAGUACAUGUAAUUGAGUAUGGAAAGACAGAUGUGUCUCAGAAAGAAUUGUGCCUGCUUUAUUUCUCUUAGCAUUUUGUCCUCUAGGGAUGUCCAUAUUGUCAAAAAUGGCAGGAAUUCCUUCUACUUAAAGGCUGAAUGAUAUUCUGUUUUCUUUAUUAUUCAUACAUUGAUGAAUACUUCAAUUGUUUUUAUGUCUUGGCUAUUGUGAAUAAUACUAUAAUCAACAAAGAAGGGCAAAUAUCUUUACAAAGUGAUCUCAUUUAUUUUUUUGAGUGGGGUGGGUAUUGAUCCAGAAUAGAAAGAAAAAUACUCCAUGAUCUCACUUACAUGUGGAAUCUAAAGAGAAAGAAACUAAAUACAUAGAAACAGAGAGUAGAAUGGUAGUUACCAGGGGCAGGGGGUGGAGGAAAUGGGAAAUUGUAGGUGCAAAGCUGCAAUUAUAAAGAUUGAAUAAAUCUAGAAAUCUAAUAGUAGCAUGAGGACUGUAGUUAAUAAUAUUGUACUAUACACUGGAAAUUUGUCACAGGGUAGAUUUUAGAUACUCUUAGCACCAGAAAAGAAAAAAGUAACUAUAUGAGAUGAUGGAUAUGCUAAUUUCCUUGACUAUAGUAAUAACUUUACUGUAUAUGUCAAAACAUCAUGUUG